UCCCUGGUGAUCCAGUUGCCAAGAGUCCAGCACUCUCAAUGCAGGGGCCCAGGUUCAAUCCCUGGUUGGGGAA
rfam:Ovis aries breed Texel unplaced genomic scaffold TnplacedScaffold_004082312.1, whole genome shotgun sequence.